rnacentral:sRNA from 1 species
UGGAAACGAAUUACGCGCGGUGUACCA